CGAAGAGUAGCUCAGUUUGGUAGAGCUCUCGCUUUGGGAGCGAGCGGCCGCAGGUUCAAAUCCUGUCUCUUCGA
rnacentral:tRNA from 1 species